rnacentral:rRNA from 1 species
AUUGAACGCUGGCGGCAGGCCUAACACAUGCAAGUCGAACGAGUGGCGGACGGGUGAGUCAUGUCUGGGAAACUGCCUGAUGGAGGGGGAUAACUACUGGAAACGGUAGCUACUACCGCAUACCAUCAGAUGUGCCCCGAUUGGCUUAGCUUGUUGGUGGGGUAACGGCUCACCAAGGCGACGAUCCCUAGCUGGUCUGAGAGGAUGACCAGCCACAAGAGAAGUGAGAAACGGGCCAGAAGCCUACGGGAGGCAGCAGGGGGGAAUAUAGGACGAGGGGAGCAAGCCUGAUGCAGCCAUGCCGCGUGUAUGAAGAAGGCCUUCGGGUGGUAAAGCACUUGAAGCGGGGAGGCGUUACCAGCAGAAGAAGCACCGGCUAACACCGUGCCAGCAGCCGCGGUAAUUC